CGCUUUGUGCAGAGGCUGUAUCAUGGCCAACGAGGUUGAUCUGAGGCGCGAUUACUGCUCAUUGAAAACUUUUCCAUUAUGACGUACAACAAGUACAAUGACAAACAUUUUCUUUAGUAU
rnacentral:snRNA from 1 species